AUGGAGGCGAGCUAUGAGGUGCCACAUCAUAUGGGCCUCCAACACCAAGACGGUGACAAGACGGUCGAGCAAGGGCCAUCCCCUUCGACCACGGCGACGAGCACGAACCUCUUCAACAACAUGAAGACGACACCCAUAUUGGACUCAUACUCCGAGUCAAGCUACGAGACCGCACAUGUGACUUUAUCUUUGGUCUCUGAAGAGAGUGAUGUUUUGCCACAUCCUACGACAUUCAUCUUUGGAGACAUUUGCACCUACAUCUCUCUGACACCCACAUAUGACGAGAUGCCCCAAGUGCCAUGUGAGGAGAGCCACUACCACAUGAGUGACAUGAGUGACUCCACCAUAUGUGAUAUUGAGAGCAUUUCCUAUGAGAGGAUGAGUGUGACCACCACUAGCCCCACACAUGAGAGCAUGCCACACAUCCUAUGUGAGGUUGAGAGCCAUUUGAGUGACUCCACUAACCAUACAAGUGAGAGCAUCCUUGAGGGAGUGAGUGGGCCACAACACUUAGUGAGUGAGGUAGUUGACACGGCACGUGAGGCCACUUUGAUUUCUAAUGACUUAACCACUACUUCAAGUGUGUUUCCUUUGGUGCUAGGUCUCCUACAUGACGACGAGUCUACCCUCGAUGAGUCCAUACCUCCAAUGGGAAAAUCGAUGGCCAUGGUGGACGAUGAUGCACCCUCACAUGGUUCCAUCAAGAUGAAGAUGACAACGAGUGGAUCUUUGACACCUCACCUAUAG
rnacentral:rRNA from 1 species